AGAGGCCAGCCAUGGCCAGCCCGGGGCUGCUGCUCCUGCUCUUACUGACAGCACUGCCACCGCUGUGGUCCUCCUCACUGCCUGGGCUGGACACUGCUGAAAGUAAAGCCACCAUUGCAGACCUGAUCCUGUCUGCGCUGGACAGAGCCACCGUCUUCCUAGAACAGAGGCUGCCUGAAAUCAACCUGGAUGGCAUGGUGGGGGUCCGAGUGCUGGAAGAGCAGCUAAAAAGUGUCCAGGAGAAGUGGGCCCAGGAGCCCCUGCUGCAGCCGCUGAGCCUGCGCAUGGGGAUGCUGGGGGAGAAGCUGGAGGCUGCCAUCCAGAGAUCCCUCCACUACCUCAAGCUGAGUGAUCCCAAGUACCUAAGAGAGUUCCAGCUGACCCUCCAGCCCGGGUUUUGGAAGCUCCCACAUGCCUGGAUCCACACUGAUGCCUCCUUGGUGUACCCCACGUUCGAGCCCCAGGACUCAUUCUCAGAGGAGAGAAGUGACGCGUGCCUGGUGCAGCUGCUGGGAACCGGGUGGGCCCUGCACUUGCCCUAUUUGCUGGAAACCCAAACGCACUAGUUCUCAGCUGGUCCUG
rnacentral:sRNA from 1 species